GAUGAAGAACGCAGCGAAAUGCGAUAAGUAAUGUGAAUUGCAGAAUUCAGUGAAUCAUCGAAUCUUUGAACGCACAUUGCGCCUGCCAGCAUUCUGGCGGGCAUGCCUGUUCGAGCGUCAUUUCAACCCUCGAGCCCCCCCGGGGGCCUCGGUGUUGGGGGACGGCACACCAGCCGCCCCCGAAAUGCAGUGGCGACCCCGCCGCAGCCUCCCCUGCGUAGUAGCACACACCUCGCACCGGAGCGCGGAGGCGGUCACGCCGUAAAACGCCCAACUUUCUUAGAGUUGACCUCGGAUCAGGUAGGAAUACCCGCUGAACUUAAGCAUAUCAAUAAGCGGAGGA
rnacentral:misc_RNA from 1 species